rnacentral:rRNA from 1 species
CCCUUCGGGGUACACGAGAGGCGGACGGCUGAGUAACGCGUGGGAACGCACCCUACACUGAGGGAUAAGAUACCGAAAGGUGUUCUAAUACCGCAUACGGUCUUCGGAUUAAAGUCUUCGGACGGUGAAGGAGCGGCCCGCGUCAUAUUAGGUAGUUGGUGGGGUAAUGGCCUACCAAGCCGAUGAUGUGUAGCUGGUCUGAGAGGAUGAUCAGCCAGACUGGAACUGAGAACGGUCCAGACUCCUACGGGAGGCAGCAGCU